GAUGAACGCUGGCGGCGUGCCUAAUACAUGCAAGUCGAGCGAACGGACGAGAAGCUUGCUUCUCUGAUGUUAGCGGCGGACGGGUGAGUAACACGUGGAUAACCUACCUAUAAGACUGGGAUAACUUCGGGAAACCGGAGCUAAUACCGGAUAAUAUUUUGAACCGCAUGGUUCAAAAGUGAAAGACGGUCUUGCUGUCACUUAUAGAUGGAUCCGCGCUGCAUUAGCUAGUUGGUAAGGUAACGGCUUACCAAGGCAACGAUGCAUAGCCGACCUGAGAGAGUGAGUGGCCAAACUGGAGUUGAGACGAGCGGAAGACUCCUACGGGAGGGAGCAGUAGGGAAUCUAACGAGAUGGGCGGAAGAAUGACGGAGCAACGACGCGUGAGUGAUGAAGGUGUUAGGAUCGUAAAACUCUUCUAGUAGGGAAGAACAAAUGAGGAAGGAACUAAGCACGUCUUGACGGUACCUAAUCAGACGGCCACGGCUAACUACGUG
rnacentral:rRNA from 1 species